UGACCUCGGAUCAGACGUGAUUACCCGCUGAAUUUAAGCAUAUUAUUAAGCGGAGGAAAAGAAACUAACAAGGAUUCCCCUAGUAACGGCGAGUGAACGGGGAAGAGCCCAACACCGAAUCCCUUGGCGCAAGUCAACGGGAAAUGUGGUGUUAAGGUAGCCCUUCGUGUCAGUCUAGGCGUCUCAAGUCCACCUGAUUGUGGCUCAAGCCCAGAGAGGGGGUGUAAGGCCCGUAGAGACGCUCCGACUGAUUCCUGGGGUUUACCUACGAGUCGGCUUGUUUGGGAAUGCAGGCCAAAGCGGGUGGUAAACUCCAUCCAAGGCUAAAUACUGGCACGAGUCCGAUAGCGGACAAGUACCGUGAGGGAAAGUUGAAAAGAACUUUGAAGAGAGAGUUCAAUAGUACGUGAAACCGCUUAGAGGCAAACGGAUGGUGCUCAUACUGGCCUGAGGAAUUCAACUGUGACGGUGGCUGGACGAGCUGGCGUUCCGAUCUCUCUUUUUUGGGACGGGCGUCGGUUUGGCUAUCAGCUCUGACAUGGUGCACUUUCCUUGGUGCCUCCGCCACGACCGACGACACUGGCUACCCGCGGCUGGGGUAAGGUGACAAACUGCUUCGGCAAUUUGUGUUAUAGACCCCGGCGUCGGACAUGGUUUGGCCAGGACGUCGAGCUUGCGGCGCCCGCUCCUUGUGGGCUCGCAUGUUGGCUAGCUUGGCUGCGCCGAUGCUUGCACUGGACAACCAGUACAGGUGACGGUUGUGGUCUUGUCUCUAGUUGGCCUCUGCGAGUUUGGCGCCUAUAGUCUGUGGUGUACUUGUGGGUAGACUAUCCGACCCGUCUUGAAACACGGACCAAGGAGUCUAACAUGUGCGCGAGUCAUGGGGAUUCUACGAAACCCAAAGGCGCAGUGAAAGUAAAGGCCUGCUUCUCGUAGGCUGAGGUGGGAUCUCGUGCAUCGCGAUUGGCGAGCGCACCACCGGCCCGUCCUAUCUGUCUCUGUCAGUGGGGCGGCGCAAGAGCGUACACGUUGGGACCCGAAAGAUGGUGAACUAUGCUUGCGCAGCUCGAAGUCAGUGGAAACACUGAUGGAGGAGCGCAGCGUUUCUGACGUGCAAAUCGAUCGUCAAACGUGAGUAUAGGGGCGAAAGACUAAUCGAACCAUCUAGUAGCUGGUUCCCUCCGAAGUUUCCCUCAGGAUAGCUGGCACUCGGAAAACAGUUUUAUCCGGUAAAGCGAAUGAUGAUUAGAGGC
rnacentral:ncRNA from 1 species